rnacentral:rRNA from 1 species
GGUNAUGGGCGAGAGCCUGAACCAGCCAUGCCGCGUGCAGGAUGACUGCCCUAUGGGUUGUAAACUGCUUUUCUGCGGGAAGAAAAGUAAGGAUUCGUUCCUUGCUUGACGGUACCGCAGGAAUAAGCAUCGGCUAACUCCGUGCCAGCAGCCGCGGUAAUACGGAGGAUGCAAGCGUUAUCCNGGAUUCAUUGGGUUUAAAGGGUGCGCAGGCGGGGUGAUAAGUCAGUGGUGAAAGCCCGGAGCUUAACUUCGGGAUUGCCAUUGAAACUGUCACUCUUGAGUACAGUCGGAGACGGCGGAAUGAGUUAUGUAGCGGUGAAAUGCAUAGAUAUAACUCAGAACACCGAUCGCGAAGGCAGCUGUCUAGACUGAGACUGACGCUGAGGCACGAAAGCGUGGGGAGCAAACAGGAUUAGAUACCCUGGUAGUCCACGCUGUAAACUAUGAUCACUCGCUGUUGGCGAUACACAGUCAGCGGCUGAGCGAAAGCAUUAAGUGAUCCACCUGGGGAGUACGUCGGNAACGAUGAAACUCAAAGGAAUUGACGGNGGCCCGNACAAGCGGAGGAACAUG